AACGAACGCUGGCGGCGCGCCUAAUACAUGCAAGUCGAACGAGAAGCUGUAGCAAUACAGUUGUACAGUGGCGAACGGGUGAGGAAUACAUGGGUGACCUACCCUCGAGUGGGGAAGUAACCAGCCGAAAGGUUAGGCUAAUACCGCGUACGCUUCCCAGUCUACGGGUUGGGAAGGGAAAGCGAUGCCGUGGGUAGUCGCGCUCAAGGUUGGGCUCAUGUCCUAUCAGCUUGUUGGGGGGUAACGGC
rnacentral:rRNA from 1 species